GAAGACAUGAACACGAUGAGAAUGUUACACUGCAUUUUGCUCAAAUGUUUUUACAUCUCAAUUCAUUUUUCAGUAUCAUUCAUUAAAAAAUGUACAUGUAGAAAGAAAAAAGCAUGGUCGUAUAUUAGAGUUAUCAUCAAAUACACUCAUCAAAAGAGGAUGAUGAUAUUUUGUACUAUACAACAAUAUACAUCAAACAGUACUCAAAGUCUUAUUCCAUUAAGUAGGAAGACAAAUUUCCGAUUUUGGUGGUUGGGCCGAGAAAAAAGCAAUGAUGUUCCGAGAAAUUAUGUAUCUUUGGGUUAA